rnacentral:rRNA from 1 species
UACGGGGGGGGUAAGCGUUGUUCGGAAUUACUGGGCGUAAAGCGCACGUAGGCGGAUUUGUUAGUCAGGGGUGAAAUCCCGGGGCUCAACCUCGGAACUGCCUUUGAUACUGCAAAUCUCGAGUCCGAUAGAGGUGGGUGGAAUUCCUAGUGUAGAGGUGAAAUUCGUAGAUAUUAGGAAGAACACCGGUGGCGAAGGCGGCCCACUGGAUCGGUACUGACGCUGAGGUGCGAAAGCGUGGGGAGCAAACAGG